AUCUUUAUUUUUAUCAUUCAAAAUACAUAUAUUUUAAGAGUGGGUUUUAAAUAUAAAUUCAUCUUGCUCCUAUUUGGAAAUAGGAUUAUUUGGUAAAAGUUUACUACUUUACAUUGAGACACAAGAGCAACAGUUAUAAGUAGUAAACCCGACCCAAAUAAUAAUGAUCCUUCCGCAGGUUCACCUACGGAAA
rnacentral:misc_RNA from 1 species